AUGACGUAUGCUUGCCACUGCUUGCACAUAAAGAAGCAUCACUCCAGAGAUGAGUCGUCGAGCCCCAUGUCUUGGAGUUCAGCUAGCCAAUGGUUGCAUCUGUUAUAGAAAUAGAAGAAGUGAGAGAAAAAUAACCAUGGCCUAGUUUGGAAGCAAAAUAUGCUAUUCGGAAAUAAAUUAUUACUAUCUUCAAUGAUUACAGUAAAUAUCAGGAUAGGAAGAGAUAGAUAGGGAUAAUACAAAACUAAUAUUUGGAAUAAGUGUUUAAUCUAUGAUAGAUAGGAAGAGAUAGAUAGGGAUAAUACAAAACUAAUAUUUGGAAUAAGUGUUUAAUCUAUGAUAAUUAGUACCUGCUAACGAGCUACAGCUAAAAUAUGAUGAUUUUUAGAAAGACAAGUAUGACCUCAAGAUUUUAAUUACUUUUUGGUAAUAGAUAGAUAAUUCCAUCUUUCACUAAUAAUGGGGUUAAAGCCAUUUCCU
rnacentral:lncRNA from 1 species